CCCACGAGUUCGCAGGGGAGGACGGUCAGAGGAAUCAGGCGUCUCCCUUGACUCCCCUUCUCUCGCCUUGCAUUCGUGACACCGAGGGGCCGGCGCUCAGGGGUAAUCUCUAUCAGUCACCCUUGAGGCCCCGGGUAAUUUUUAGGGAUGUCCACCCCUGCAGUUUUAUCCAUGGACCAAGGAUCUGCAGACCCCAUGUUAAGAAUACCUGGAUAUGCAGAAUCUACACAGAACUAAAGCGGAUUUACAAGAAAAAAACAAACCCAUUCAAAAGUGGAUGAAGGACAUGAACAGACACUUUUCAAAAGAAGACAUUUAUGAGGCCAGCAAACAUAUGAAAAAAUGCUCAUCAUCACUGGUCAUUAGAGAGAUGCAAAUCAAAACCACAUUGAGAUACCAUCUCACGCCAGUUAGAAUGGCGAUCAUUAAAAAAUCUGGAGACAACAGAUGCUGGAGAGGAUGUGGAGAAAAAGGAACACUUUUACACUGUUGGUGGGAGUGUAAAUUAGUUAAACCAUUGUGGAAGACAGUGUGGCGAUUCCUCAAGGAUUUAGAAAUAGAAAUUCCAUUUGACCCAGCAACCCCAUUACUGGGUAUAUACCCAAAGGAUUAUAAAUCAAUUAUAAAGACACAUGCA